rnacentral:sRNA from 1 species
CAGAAGCCUCUGGUUUCCGGCCGUGCAUCUGCAGCUGGGGUCUGAUGUCUCCUGAAAGUAAAGCAGAAUUUUGUGUGUGCGUCUCUCGGAUUUCUCUGGGGAGAUGGUCUGUUCAUCUUUCUGGGCUUUGAGAGAUUCUCAAAGGCUUCUGUGACCCAGAGCUCUAUGAUCGUCAGUUAUACAGGGGUCUGGGAGGACAGCUCAUGAGACAAGCAGUGUGCGUUUUAAUAGAAAAGUUGUCACUUUCCAAAAUGCCCUUUAGAGGUGACAUCGUAAUUGAUGGUUGGCAGUGGCUGAUAAAUGACACUUUGAGACAUCUCCAUCUCAUCUCAAGUCACUCCCGACAGCAGAUCAAGGAUGCAGCAGUCUCGGCCCUGGCUGCUCUAUGCAGUGAAUAUUACGUGAAGGAGCCGGGGGAGGCAGAUCCCGCAAUUCAGGAGGAGCUGAUCACGCAGUACCUGGCUGAGCUUUGGAACCCCGAGGAGAUGACUCGCUGUGGCUUCUCGUUGGCCUUGGGCGCCCUUCCAGGCUUCCUUCUGAAAGGCCGGCUCCAGCAGGUUCUCACAGGUUUAAGAGCAGUUACCCACACUUCCCCCAAGGACGUAAGCUUUGCUGAGUCCAGGAGAGAUGGCUUGAAGGCCAUUGCUAGGAUUUGCCAGACUGUCGGUGUGAAAGCAGGAGCCCCGGACGAAGCUGUGUGCAGAGAGAACGUUUCCCAGAUUUACUGUGCGCUGCUGAGCUGCAUGGACGACUACACCACGGACAGCAGAGGGGA